rnacentral:rRNA from 1 species
UGGGGAAUAUUGGACAAUGGGCGAAAGCCUGAUCCAGCCAUGCCGCGUGUGUGAAGAAGGUCUUCGGAUUGUAAAGCACUUUAAGUUGGGAGGAAGGGCAUUAACCUAAUACGUUAGUGUUUUGACGUUACCGACAGAAUAAGCACCGGCUAACUCUGUGCCAGCAGCCGCGGUAAUACAGAGGGUGCAAGCGUUAAUCGGAAUUACUGGGCGUAAAGCGCGCGUAGGUGGUUUGUUAAGUUGGAUGUGAAAUCCCCGGGCUCAACCUGGGAACUGCAUUCAAAACUGACUGACUAGAGUAUGGUAGAGGGUGGUGGAAUUUCCUGUGUAGCGGUGAAAUGCGUAGAUAUAGGAAGGAACACCAGUGGCGAAGGCGACCAACUGGACUAAUACUGACACUGAGGUGCGAAAGCGUGGGGAGCAAACA